AUCCAGAUGGUCUCCAUGGGAUCCAGGUGGAUAGUGUCCGCCUUAUGUGCAGGGGUUAAAAUUAAAGAGUCCCAAUCCAUUUCUAGUUGAGAAUAAUAAAACAAGCCGAGAUGUAAAAGACUUGUUUUUAGGUGUUACGUUUGUGUCUUGCGGAGUCAUUGUUAGUGUCGUUGUUAAGUUGCAGCUCGAGGACGAGCUGCAUGUCCAGGUGGGGUGUAGUGUUAGAAGAGUCAAGG
rnacentral:lncRNA from 1 species